GUGGGGAAUUUUGGACAAUGGGCGAAAGCCUGAUCCAGCCAUGCCGCGUGCAGGAUGAAGGCCUUCGGGUUGUAAACUGCUUUUGUACGGAACGAAAAGACUCCUUCUAAUAAAGGGGGUCCAUGACGGUACCGUAAGAAUAAGCACCGGCUAACUACGUGCCAGCAGCCGCGGUAAUACGUAGGGUGCAAGCGUUAAUCGGAAUUACUGGGCGUAAAGCGUGCGCAGGCGGUUAUAUAAGACAGAUGUGAAAUCCCCGGGCUCAACCUGGGAACUGCAUUUGUGACUGUAUAGCUAGAGUACGGUAGAGGGGGAUGGAAUUCCGCGUGUAGCAGUGAAAUGCGUAGAUAUGCGGAGGAACACCGAUGGCGAAGGCAAUCCCCUGGGCCUGUACUGACGCUCAUGCACGAAAGCGUGGGGAGCAAACAGGAUUAGAAACCCGGGUAGUCC
rnacentral:rRNA from 1 species